rnacentral:rRNA from 1 species
ACGGAGGAUGCAAGCGUUAUCCGGAUUCAUUGGGUUUAAAGGGUGCGUAGGCGGACUAUUAAGUCAGUGGUGAAAUCCUGCAGCUUAACUGCAGAACUGCCAUUGAUACUGAUAGACUUGAGUUUGGUUAAGGUAGGCGGAAUGUGUAAUGUAGCGGUGAAAUGCUUAGAUAUUACACAGAACACCAAUUGCGUAGGCAGCUUACUGAGCCGAUACUGACGCUGAGGCACGAAAGCGUGGGGAUCGAACAGGAUUAGAUACCCUGGUAGUCCACGCCGUAAACGAUGAUUACUCGCUGUUGGCGAUACACAGUCAGCGGCUAAGCAAAAGCAAUAAGUAAUCCACCUGGGGAGUACGGCCGCAAGGUUG